AGCGAACGCUGGCGGCAUGCCUAACACAUGCAAGUCGCACGGGGGGGCUUCGGCCUCCCAGUGGCGGACGGGUGAGGAACGCGUAGGGACCUGUCGAGGGGUGGGGGAUAACCGCGGGAAACUGCGGCUAAUACCGCAUGACGCCGCGGCGUGACAGCCGGGGCCAAAGGCGAAAGCCGCCCGCCGAGGGGCCUGCGUCCGAUUAGCUGGUUGGCGGGGUAGCGGCCCACCAAGGCGUCGAUCGGUAGCUGGUCUGGGAGGGUGAUCAGCCACACCGGGAGUGGGACACGGCCCGGAAUUCUACGGGAGGGAGCAAGUGGGGAUAUUGGACCAGGGGCGGCAGCCUGAUCCAGCCAGGCCGGGGGGGUGAAGAAGGUCUUCGGAUUGUAAAGCCCUUUCGGCGGGGACGAUGGUGACGGUACCCGCAGAAGAAGCCCCGGCUAACUUCGUG
rnacentral:rRNA from 1 species